UACAGAGGUCCCAAGCGUUGUUCGGAUUCACUGGGCGUAAAGGGUGCGUAGGCGGUCGGGUAAGUCUGACGUGAAAUCUUCAAGCUCAACUUGGAAACUGCGUCCGAUACUAUUCGGCUAGAGGAAUGGAGGGGAGACUGGAAUACUUGGUGUAGCAGUGAGAUGCGUAGAUAUCAAGUGGAACACCAGUGGCGAAGGCGAGUCUCUGGACAUUUCCUGACGCUGAGGCACGAAAGCCAGGGGAGCAAACGGG
rnacentral:rRNA from 1 species